CUUCCAGUAGCACCUUAGAGACCAACUAAGUUUGUUAUUGGUAUGAGCUUUCGUGUGCAUGCACACUUCUUCAGCCCACAAAAGCUCAUACUAAUAACAAACUUAGUUGGUCUCUAAGGUGCUACUGGAAG